CGCUGACGUCAGUGCUGGGAACCGGCGUUGCGCUCUGGAGCUGGAGAGUCGGACAGGGAAAGCGCGCGGCGGGAGGGGCGGGGCGGCAGUGGCGGAGGAAGCGGAGGAGCGCUCGGUGCCGGUGUGCCCUGACCUCGCCUCGCUCCCAUCCGGGUUAGGGUUAAAUGCCACCUCCUCCAGGAAGCCUUCGCUGAUGCCGCCUCUCCCUGGCGGUCUUCUUGAUUGACUACCGUAGCAUUUUCCAGCACAACCCGUCGGAACCACUCGCCCCGACGCUUUGGCACCAUGUUACUGCUUUUUAAAACUAGACAGAAUGGUUUCCUCUUGAACCUUCUGGAGCCGGGAAUGCACUGUUUACUCCCACAACACUACCACCUCGCCCACAGACCUCGUUGGUGCAACCUUUGCUGUGCUGCACAGAGCUGAUGGGAAAUGUCUCUCAAGGAAGACUAGAGGCCGCUGCUUUGCUUCCUAAUCAAGUGGAAAUACACUGAACGCAUUUCUACCUCUUUAAGAGAGGACUUGUUUCAAGGUUCCCUGUCACUUCUCACAAAGUUGUAUCCACCAGGCUGGGAAUGGUUCCUGAGAGUCACUAAUAGGACUGAAAAACAGCAGAAAAUGGCUUUGCCUCUAAAACCUGCUAAUAAAGAUACCAGGAAAAG
rnacentral:lncRNA from 1 species